CCUACGGGAGGCAGCAGUGGGGAAUAUUGCACAAUGGGCGGAAGCCUGAUGCAGCGACGCCGCGUGAGCGAAGAAGUAUUUCGGUAUGUACAGCUCUAUCAGCAGGGAAGAAAAUGACGGUACCUGACUGAGAAGCCCCGGCUAACUACGUGCCAGCAGCCGCGGUAAUACGUAGGGGGCAAGCGUUAUCCGGAUUUACUGGGUGUAAAGGGAGCGUAGACGGGUGUGCAAGUCUGGAGUGAAAGGCGGGGGCUCAACCCCCGGACUGCUUUGGAAACUGUAAAGCUUGAGGGCAGGAGAGGUAAGCGGAAUUCCUAGUGUAGCGGUGAAAUGCGUAGAUAUUAGGAGGAACACCAGUGGCGAAGGCGGCUUACUGGACUGCAACUGACGUUGAGGCUCGAAAGCGUGGGGAGCAAACAGGAUUAGAUACCCCAGUAGUC
rnacentral:rRNA from 1 species